UUUGACAGUUCAAUGCAUUGUCCCAUCAGCUACAGUUUGACAGUUUCAAUGCACUGUCCCAUCAGCUACAGUUUGACAGUUCAAUGCAUUGUCCUGUUGGCUACAGUGUGACAGUUCAGUGCAUUGUCUGAUCAGCUGCAGUUUGACAGUUCAAUGCAUUGUCUGAUCAGCUACAGUUUCAAUGCAUUGUCUGAUCAGCUACAGUGUAACAUUUCAAUGCAUUGUCAUGUUGGCUACAGUGUGACAGUUCAAUGCAUUGUCUGAUCAGCUACAGUGUAACAGUUUCAAUGCAUUGUCCUGUUGGUUACAGUUUGACAGUUUCAAUGCAUUGUCCCAUCAGCUACAGUUUGACAGUUUCAAUGCAUUGUCCCAUCAGCUACAGUUUGACAGUUCAGUGCAUUGUCCUGUUGGCUACAGUGUGACAGUUCAAUGCAUUGUCUGAUCAGCUACAGUGUAACAGUUUCAAUGAAUUGUCCUGUUGGUUACAGUUUGACAGUUUCAAUGCAUUGUCCUGUUGGCUACAGUUUGACAUUUCAAUGCAUUGUCCGAUCAGCUACAGUUUGACAGUUUCAAUGCAUUGUCCCAUCAGCUACAGUUUGACAGUUUCAAUGCAUUGUCCCAUCAGCUACAGUUUGACAGUUUCAAUGCAUUGUCCCAUCAGCUACAGUUUGACAGUUUCAAUGCAUUGUCCCAUCAGCUACAGUUUGACAGUUUCAAUGCAUUGUCCCAUCAGCUACAGUUUGACAGUUCAAUGCAUUGUCCCAUCAGCUACAGUGUGACAGCUUAAUGCAUUGUCCCAUCAGCUACAGUUUGACAGUUUGCAUUGUCCCAUCAGCUACAGU
rnacentral:lncRNA from 1 species